UAAGUUACUGGAAAUGAAGAUCAACAGCUUCCACUCGUUCACCAUGUUCUCCACAUCUCUACCGCUGCUGCUGCUGCUGGCUGCUGUGAGCUGUGUUUACUGUGUUGAGCUGACCCAGCCUGGAUCCAUGGUCAUAAGUCGUGGUCAGUCGAUGUCACUGACCUGUAAAGUUUCUGGAUACUCACUGACCAGCCACUGGACACACUGGACACGGCAGCCUGCUGGAAAAGCUCUUGAGUGGAUUGGAGAGAUACAUGGAAAUGAUGGCACUUACUACAAUGAAAAACUGGAAAGCAUGUUUGAAGUUACUGUAGACACGUCCAGCAGCACAGUGACCUUAAUUGGGGAGAAUAUGCAGACUGGAGACACAGCUGUGUAUUACUGCGCUCGUGAAGACCACAGUGACACGCUUCACCAGAGACCCUGCACAAAAACAUCCUCUCUGAAUUACAGUACUGUUCAAAAUGAAUGA